UCUACAGCAGCCAGCCAGACAGCAGUCAGCAGCAACAGAAGAGUGGAAGGUAGAGAGAAACAGUCGUAGAGUGGAAGGUAGAGAGAAACAGUCGUAGAGUGGAAGGUAGAGAGAAACAGUCGUAGAGUGGAAGGUAGAGAGAAACAGUCGUAGAGUGGAAGGUAGAGAGAAACAGUCGUAGAGUGGAAGGUAGAGAGAAACAGUCGUAGAGUGGAAGGUAGAGAGAAACAGUCGUAGAGUGGAAGGUAGAGAGAAACAGUCGUAGAGUGGAAGGUAGAGAGAAACAGUCGUAGAGUGGAAGGUAGAGAGAAACAGUCGUAGAGUGGAAGGUAGAGAGAAACAGUCGUAGAGUGGAAGGUAGAGAGAAACAGUCGUAGAGUAAGGUAGAGAGAAACAGUCGUAGAGUAAGGUAGAGAGAAACAGUCGUAGAGUAAGGUAGAGAGAAACAGUCACAGAGAGGAAGGUAGAGAGAAACAGUCACAGAGAGGAAGGUAGAGAGAAACAGUCACAGAGAGGAAGGUAGAGAGAAACAGUCACAGAGAGGAAGGUAGAGAGAAACAGUCAGAGUGGAAGGUAGAGAGAAACAGUCACAGAGAGGAAGGUAGAGAGAAUUGAAAGGAGGUGUCGGCAAGGAAGGGAGGGAGUCAGGAACGACAGUGAGAGAGAGAAGGAAGGAAGAUACAUCACAGUUAGAGGGUUAGUGGUCUGGACCAGGGUGGGUGGUGGUCGGGGCGAAGACUGGGUCUGGUUCUAAUCCCAGACACCGCAGUACUCCAACUCACAGUGGUGUUCAGUAGAGAUGUCAUGGUUUUACUACAGGAGGUUGGGGCAGAGCACAUGAUAGCACUACGAGGCUAUACUAUACUACAGUAGCAGUACUAAAGGCUAACUGUGUAAGCAGUGCAAACACUACAGAAAUAGACAGCGACAACAAAAUGAACAACAAUAACACUCCCAACCUCAAUUCAUUUCACAAUGGGGUCAAAGAAAAUGCAAGGGAGUCACACUGUCCACAUCCGUUAUUCUGUCAGUGUGAAACAGGAUAAGAAAGUUAACACAUAUCAUCAAACUUGGUAUUAGAAAGAAUGAGUAAUCUAUUGAGUUACAUUUCUGUAAGUAAAACUCUGAACAUUUACCCCAUCUGAACAGGACUCUCUUUUACACCAGGCAGUCCUGUACCCCUACCCGUUCCCCGCUGUG